rnacentral:rRNA from 1 species
AGGGAAUAUUGCGCAAUGGACGGAAGUCUGACGCAGCGACGCCGCGUGAGCGAUGAAGGUCUUCGGAUCGUAAAGCUCUGUCCUUGGGGAAGAAGGCGAAAGCUUGACGGUACCCAAGAAGAAAGCCCCGGCUAACUACGUGCCAGCAGCCGCGGUAAGACGUAGGGGGCGAGCGUUGUCCGGAAUUACUGGGCGUAAAGGGCGUGUAGGCGGCUUUUCAAGUCGGCUGUGAAAUUCCCCGGCUUAACCGGGGGGGUGCAGUCGAAACUGAUGGGCUUGAGUGCAGGAGAGGGUGGUGGAAUUCCCGGUGUAGCGGUGACAUGCGUAGAUAUCGGGAGGAACACCGGUGGCGAAGGCGACCUCCUGGCCUGUUACUGACGCUGAGGCGCGAAAGCUGGGGGAGCAAACA